rnacentral:misc_RNA from 1 species
GAUGAAGAACGUAGCGAAAUGCGAUACGUAAUGUGAAUUGCAGAAUUCAGUGAAUCAUCGAGUCUUUGAACGCACAUUGCGCCCCCUGGUAUUCCGGGGGGCAUGCCUGUCCGAGCGUCAUUGCUGCCCUCAAGCACGGCUUGUGUGUUGGGCCUCCGUCCUCCUCCCGGGGGACGGGCCCGAAAGGCAGCGGCGGCACCGCGUCCGGUCCUCGAGCGUAUGGGGCUUCGUCACACGCUCUUGUAGGCCCGGCCGGCGCUUGCCGACACAUCAAUCUUUUUUCCAGGUUGACCUCGGAUCAGGUAGGGAUACCCGCUGAACUUAAGCAUAUCAAUAAGCGGAGGA